rnacentral:rRNA from 1 species
UACGUAGGGUGCGAGCGUUAAUCGGAAUUACUGGGCGUAAAGCGUGCGCAGGCGGUUUUGCAAGCCGGAUGUGAAAUCCCCGGGCUCAACCUGGGAAUGGCAUUCGGGACUGCAGGGCUGGAGUGCGGCAGAGGAGACUGGAAUUCCUGGUGUAGCAGUGAAAUGCGUAGAUAUCAGGAGGAAUACCGAUGGCGAAGGCAGGUCUCUGGGCUGACACUGACGCUCAUGCACGAAAGCGUGGGGAGCAAACAGG